rnacentral:rRNA from 1 species
UACGGGGGGAGCAAGCGUUGUUCGGAUUUACUGGGCGUAAAGGGCGCGUAGGCGGUCAGCACAAGUCAGUUGUGAAAUCUCCGGGCUUAACUCGGAAAGGUCAGCCGAUACUGCGGGGCUAGAGUGCAGAAGGGGCAACUGGAAUUCUCGGUGUAGCGGUGAAAUGCGUAGAUAUCGAGAGGAACACCUGCGGCGAAGGCGGGUUGCUGGGCUGACACUGACGCUGAUUGUGCGAAAGCUAGGGGAGCAAACGGG